AACGAACGCUGGCGGCAGGCCUAACACAUGCAAGUCGAGCGAGGACUUCGGUCCUAGCGGCGGACGGGUGAGUAACGCGUGGGAACGUGCCCUUUGCUUCGGAAUAGCCCUGGGAAACUGGGAGUAAUACCGGAUGAGCCCUUUGGGGGAAAGAUUUAUCGGCGAAGGAUCGGCCCGCGUUGGAUUAGGUAGUUGGUGGGGUAAUGGCCUACCAAGCCGACGAUCCAUAGCUGGUUUGAGAGGAUGAUCAGCCACACUGGGACUGAGACACGGCCCAGACUCCUACGGGAGGCAGCAGUGGGGAAUCUUAGACAAUGGGGGAAACCCUGAUCUAGCCAUGCCGCGUGAGCGAUGAAGGCCUUAGGGUUGUAAAGCUCUUUCAGCUGGGAAGAUAAUGACGGUACCAACAGAAGAAGCCCCGGCUAACUCCGUG
rnacentral:rRNA from 1 species